GGUGGAUGCCCUGGCAGUCAGAGGCGAUGAAGGGCGUGCUAAUCUGCGAUAAGCGCCGGUAAGGUGAUAUGAACCGUUAUAACCGGCGAUACCCGAAUGGGGAAACCCAGUGUGAUUCGUCACACUAUCAUUAACUGAAUCCAUAGGUUAAUGAGGCGAACCGGGGGAACUGAAACAUCUAAGUACCCCGAGGAAAAGAAAUCAACCGAGAUUCCCCCAGUAGCGGCGAGCGAACGGGGAGGAGCCCAGAGCCUGAAUCAGCAUGUGUGUUAGUGGAAGCGUCUGGAAAGGCGCGCGAUACAGGGUGACAGCCCCGUACACAAAAGCGCAUGUGCUGUGAGCUCGAUGAGUAGGGCGGGACACGUGGUAUCCUGUCUGAAUAUGGGGGGACCAUCCUCCAAGGCUAAAUACUCCUGACUGACCGAUAGUGAACCAGUACCGUGAGGGAAAGGCGAAAAGAACCCCGGCGAGGGGAGUGAAAAAGAACCUGAAACCGUGUACGUACAAGCAGUGGGAGCACAGGUUUACC
rnacentral:rRNA from 1 species